UCACUGAGUGUAUGACCAGCAGCCUCUGC
rnacentral:piRNA from 1 species